rnacentral:rRNA from 1 species
AUUGAACGCUGGCGGCAGGCCUAACACAUGCAAGUCGGGCAGCGGCGGACGGGUGAGUAAUGUAUGGGGACCUGCCUGAUGGAGGGGGAUAACUACUGGAAACGGUAGCUAAUACCGAAUCCGAUCAGCAGAACACAUAGGGGAUUAGUUAGUAGGUGAGGGACCGGCUCACCUAGGCGACGAUCCCUAGCUGGUCUGAGAGGAUGAUCAGCCACACUGGGACUGAGACACGGCCCAGACUCCUACGGGAGGCAGCAGGGGGGAAUAUUGCACAAUGGGCGCAAGCCUGAUGCAGCCAUGCCGCGUGUAUGAAGAAGGCCUUCGGGUUGUAAAGUACUUUCAGUCGGGAGGCGUUACCGACAGAAGAAGCACCGGCUAACUCCGUGCCAGCAGCCGCGGUAAUAC